rnacentral:rRNA from 1 species
UCCUGAUGGCUCACAUGAAGUUUCGUGCCGUUCCGACCUCGUUUGAUACGGUUAUGGUUAACCACACGGCCCCUCGGGCCCGACCCGAGCCCAGUCAACGUUUUGACCCGAUCAAAUCGGCCCGUGACCCGAAACGACCCUACUUGGGCCCUACAACAGCCACGUAAAGUUUCGGGAUGAUCCGACGUUCUUUCAUGGGGUUACGGACAAUCCACGCCAAACAAGCGUCACGGGCCGACCGAGCCGGGCCAACGGGCCCUCGGGACCCGAAAACUGAAUUUUUUUUCAUCCAAACCCAUUAAAACACGUUACCGAGGUCUCACGCAAAAUUUCAUGCCAAUCCGACGUCGUUUGAUGGGGUUUUGAGAUAUUAUGAUUCCUCAAAAAUUUAAUGUCUGUUCCUGUCACUUAGCUUUUUGUGCAAAAUGUAUAUAUAGGGGAGGGGUGGGUGUUGAGCAGCCCAUGCCCGGGCAAGGCAUGCCAGCGCCCAAGCCAAAGGAGGCUGGUGGCGUGCGUAUAACAGCUCAAAUGCCCCAACGAUGACCGAGAACAAGCGCCCAUCUCCCCUCCUUCCCCCCCACCAAGCGCCCCUCCCCCCCCCAUGUUGCCUGCCCACUCGCACAGCUACUCGUGAUUUCAUGCCCAGCGACUAGUGAAUGUGCCUCGACGACCAGCAAACCUCGAAAAUUAUGAUUCCUCGUAAAAUUAAUGUCUGUUCCUGUCACUUUACUUUUUGUGCAAAAUGUAUAUAUAGGGGAGACCAGGGGCUUGAGCAACCCCUGUGCCCAAGCAAGGGUCAGAUGGAAGCACACGAGACGCGAGGUUUAAAGCCUAUACAAGCAAGGCGUCUGUCUCCCCAAGCCCCAUUGCCUAUAAAACAAGCCCGAUGCCUUGUAAAUGCCCCACACGAUGCCUAUAAACGACAACGAUGUUUGCUAGUUAAUCGAUCGACGCCCCACACCUUGCAGCAUGUUGCCUAGUAAACAAGCCAUGCUGCCUUGGAAGCGCCCCACAUCAUGGCAUGUUGCCUAGCACGCUGCCCUUGUUUCCAGCACGGCGACCUGAAAGCGUGGCCUGACGACGUGCUUGCCUUCGAAAAUUAUGAUUCCUCAAAAAAUUAAUGUCUGUUCCUGUCACUUUACUUUUUGU